rnacentral:tRNA from 1 species
AAAUAAGAAGCAAAAUUUGCGAUUAGUUUCGACCUAAUUAUUGAUAUUAAUAAAAAUAUCCUUAUUUU